AGUGAACGCUGGCGGUAGGCCUAACACAUGCAAGUCGAACGGCAGCACAGUAAGAGCUUGCUCUUACGGGUGGCGAGUGGCGGACGGGUGAGGAAUACAUCGGAAUCUACUUUUUCGUGGGGGAUAACGUAGGGAAACUUACGCUAAUACCGCAUACGACCUACGGGUGAAAGCAGGGGAUCUUCGGACCUUGCGCGAUUGAAUGAGCCGAUGUCGGAUUAGCUAGUUGGCGGGGUAAAGGCCCACCAAGGCGACGAUCCGUAGCUGGUCUGAGAGGAUGAUCAGCCACACUGGAACUAGGACACGGUCCAGACUCCUACGAGAGGCAGCAGUGGGGAAUAUUGGACAAUGGGCGCAAGCCUGAUCCAGCCAUACCGCGUGGGUGAAGAAGGCCUUCGGGUUGUAAAGCCCUUUUGUUGGGAAAGAAAAGCAGCAGGUUAAUACCCCGCUGUUCUGACGGUACCCAAAGAAUAAGCACCGGCUAACUUCGUG
rnacentral:rRNA from 1 species